rnacentral:rRNA from 1 species
AUUGAACGCUGGCGGCAGGCCUAACACAUGUAAGUCGAACGAGUGGCGGACGGGUGAGUAAUGUCUGGGAAACUGCCCGAUGGAGGGGGGUAACUACUGGACACGGUAGCUAAUACCGCAUACCAUCGGAUGUGCCCAGAUGGGGUUAGCUAUUAGGUGGGGUAAAGUCUCCCCUAGGCGACGAUCCCUAGAUGGUCUGAGAGGAUGACCAGCCACACGGGAACUGAGACACGGUCCAGACUCCGACGGGAGGCAGCAGUGGGGAAUAUUGCACAAGGGGCGCAAGCCGGAUACAGCCAUGCCGCGUGUAUGAAGAAGGCCUUCGGGUUGUAAAGUACUUUAAGCGAGGAGGCGUUACUCGCAGAAGAAGCACCGGCUAACUCCGUGCCAGCAGCCGCGGUAAUAC